UAGCGUUGGAUGCGCAUGCUUCAAAACAUUUUUAUUUUUUUUGUAUUUUGGAGAAAUUACAAGUGGUGCUGGUCAGAAACAUAAAGUCAAUGAGAGAGAACUGCCCUGCACUUUCAUCCCAAUGUCUGGAUUCUGGGAUCCCCUGGAAGUGAUCAAUGUAAGAGGAUAACCUGCUGCUCACCAUUUACUUCCUCUGUAUGUCCCAAAUGGCACCCUAUUCCCUGUAUAGUGCAUUACGUUUGACGAGGGCCCGAAACAAUUGCACUAUAUAGGGAAAAGGGUGCCAUUUGGGACGCAACCCUGUUUUUCAACACUGACUUGGUGGAGGAGGGAAAAGUCGUGACAGAAACCGGAAGCAGGCCAAAGAGAAGGACAAUAUAAAAGUGUGUGUAAAUACCAGACUGAGGUUAGUGGGGAACUUUUGGAAAGUCAGAAAGUGUUAGUAAAGAAAAUGCAAUGCAAGCAUCUGAUAUACAUUUAAAAAAAAUAUAAAUAAAUGUAACCUUUAUUUAACUAGGCAUGUCAGUUAAAUAAAGGCAUGUCAGUUAAGAACAAAUUCUUAUUUACAAUGACUGCCUACCCUGGCCAAACCCGAACGACGCUGGGCCAAUUGUGCGUCGCCCUAUGGGACUCCCAAUCACAGCCGGAUGUGAUGCAACCUCAAUGCGAACAUAAAAGUGUCAUAUUACUGUAGCGCUACAUGAUUCAGUGAUACUUCAGGUGCUUUCUACAUAUCCUGUGUAUUUAAGUUUGGACAGAAAGGAGGUCUCGGGCCUCUACUCACCACUGCUUCCCCCUACAACUCUAUUUCUAUGGCUUCACCACUCCUUCUGUUGUCAACAUCACCAGACCUGAGUUCAAAUAGUAUUUGAAGUCUUUCAAAUACGUUGUGUUUUCUCUAGCCUGCCUGAUGGAUAGGGGUUUGCACUUCUGCAACUUUUAAUUUGGUUCCAUUCUACCAGACAAGCUCAAUCAAGCCCAACUAAAAUAUUUGAAAUGAUAUCAAAUUGUAUUUGAACCCAGGUCUUACUUUCACCACCGGCUGUUUCACCACUUCUUCCAUGUUCAGCAUGACGCCUGAAUAGUUUAUUUGAUUCAGAGUCUCCUGGAGGUUCUACGGGUACACAUCCCAAACGAACUUCCCGUGGAGAUGAAUUAAGCAUCCUUACCCAAAUCCUGCGCUGCCCCUUGUACUCUAAGGAAAAUUAUGAAGCAUGAUUAUGAGCUAAUCACCUUAAUGAAAGGCACAAUGUUUCCUUGGCAGCUCUAAAUCAGUUGCAGGGUUGUUAGUAGUUGUCCCAUGUUUGUUCUCUGUUGUCGCUAAAACACUCUUGUCCCCUUAUUGUGAAAAGGGAAAGGGGGAUACCUAGUCAAUUGUAGAACUGAAUGCAUUCAACUGAAAUGUGUCUUCCGCAUUUAACCCAACCCCUCUGUGUAGGCUGUCUGUGUGGGUCUGUGUGUGUGCUCGAGUGUGUGUGUGUUUGUGUUUUGUUGUUGUUGUCACUAAAACACUCACCUCACUGCCAGAUGCGUGUAGAGACCUUUUAGAAUUAGAUACACUCCAGGUAUAAUGUACAUCUCACAGACUUUGUGUUUUUUGUGGACACUUUAGGUACUGUAAAUUGGCUUGGUUUAGGCCAGCCAUACCACCUGUCUUCUAAAACAAAGCAAAGUCGACCUAGUACAUCAGAGGAGAUGAGCAGCAUGGAAAGUUAGUGUAAUCUUCUCCCCUCCAACCACACACACACAAUAACACAAGAGCAUGUGCUGUCAACCGUUAUGUCACUUUGCAUGCAACGGAGCACUGAAAUCUGUGGUGUAAAAGGUCCAAACAUCAGAGCAAGCUCACAGUUUGUUUGCAUUUCUCCAUAAUGAGGUACGAUGACAGAUUGACCUAUUGAGGGAGGAAAAAACACAGGAUGUGUCCCAAAUGGCACCCAAUUCCCUAUAUAGUGCACUACUUUUGUAGUAGAGCCCUAUGGGCCCUGGAUGCACACCCUAUUGAGGAACAGAGCACACAUGCAACUUUAAAUAGAUGGUAGAUGGUCCAUUUAUUCAUACAUAGUAGAGUAUCUGGAUACCUAAAUUAAAGAUUGUUAUUAUAACAGUAGUCCUAUUCCCCAGGCUAUAGUCUAGCGUUUGGUCCAGACCUGGGUUCAAACACUAUUUGGACUAUUUCAAAUACUUUAGCUUUGCCUGAUUGAACUUGCCUCUUGCAAUGGAACCAAUAGACAUGUCCCAAAUGUUGCAAACCCUGCCCAUCCGGCACUAUCCUUACAGAAAACCACAUGAUUUCACAUGUGGAAAACCACAUGAUUUUACGUGUGACAUUUCCACGUCUUGCACACAACAGUCUGUUGGAACAAUCUGGUCUCAUAGCAUUUUGUAUUAUUCUGUACGCAAAUCCAGAUUAGAGAUGAUAUAACCCCUCCUGUCUCAGCCUCCAGUAUUUAUGCUGCAGUCGUUUAUGUGUCGGGGGGCUAGGGUCAGUUUGUUAUAUCUGGAGUAC